rnacentral:rRNA from 1 species
GAUGAACGCUAGCGGCAGGCCUAACACAUGCAAGUCGAGGGGUAGCAGGAUUAAGCUUGCUUAAUUGCUGACGACCGGCGCACGGGUGCGUAACGCGUAUGCAACCUACCUUAUACUGGGGUAUAGCCCGGAGAAAUUCGGAUUAAUCCCCCAUAGUACUAAUGAAUCGCAUGGUUUAUUAGUUAAAGCAUUGCGGUAUAAGAUGGGCAUGCGUCCUAUUAGCUAGAUGGUGAGGUAACGGCUCACCAUGGCCACGAUAGGUAGGGGGCCUGAGAGGGUGGUCCCCCACACUGGUACUGAGACACGGACCAGACUCCUACGGGAGGCAGCAGUGAGGAAUAUUGGUCAAUGGGCGCAAGCAUGAACCAGCCAUGCCGCGUGCAGGAAGAAUGCCCUAUGGGUUGUAAACUGCUUUUAUUUGGGAAUAAACCUCUUUACGUGUAGAGAGCUGAAGGUACCAAAUGAAUAAGCACCGGCUAACUCCGUGCCAGCAGCCGCCGUAA